rnacentral:rRNA from 1 species
AUUGAACGCUGGCGGCAGGCCUAACACAUGCAAGUCGAGCGGAGCGGCGGACGGGUGAGUAAUACCUAGGAAUCUGCCUGGUAGUGGGGGAUAACGUUCGGAAACGGACGCUAAUACCGCAUACUAUCAGAUGAGCCUAGGUCGGAUUAGCUAGUUGGUGAGGUAAUGGCUCACCAAGGCUACGAUCCGUAACUGGUCUGAGAGGAUGAUCAGUCACAAGGGGACUGAGACACGGGCCAGACGCCUACUGGAUGCAGCAGUGGUGAAUAUUGGACAAUGGUCGAAAGCAUGAUCCAGCCAUGCAGCGUGUGUGAAGAAGGUCUUCGGAUUGGAAAGCACGUUAAGUUGGGAGGCGUUACCGACAGAAUAAGCACCGGCUAACUCUGUGCCAGCAGCCGCGGUAAUAC